AGAACGAACGCUGGCGGCAGGCUUAACACAUGCAAGUCGAGCGCCUCGCAAGAGGAGCGGCAGACGGGUGAGUAACGCGUGGGAAUCUACCCAUCCUUACGGAACAACUCCGGGAAACUGGAGCUAAUACCGUAUACGCCCUUCGGGGGAAAGAUUUAUCGAGGAUGGAUGAGCCCGCGUUGGAUUAGCUAGUUGGUGGGGUAAAGGCCUACCAAGGCGACGAUCCAUAGCUGGUCUGAGAGGAUGAUCAGCCACAUUGGGACUGAGACACGGCCCAAACUCCUACGGGAGGCAGCAGUGGGGAAUAUUGGACAAUGGGCGCAAGCCUGAUCCAGCCAUGCCGCGUGAGUGAUGAAGGCCCUAGGGUUGUAAAGCUCUUUCACCGGAGAAAUAAUGACGGUAUCCGGAGAAGAGCCCCGGCUAACUUCGUGCCAGCAGCCGC
rnacentral:rRNA from 1 species